AGUGAACGCUGGCGGUAGGCCUAACACGUGCAAGUCGAACGGCAGCACAUUAAGAGCUUGCUUUUCCGGUUGCCGAGGGGCGGACGGGUGAGGAAUAAAUCGGAAUCUACUUUUUCGUGGGGGAUAACGUAGGGAAACUUACCCUAAUACCGCAUACACCCUCCGGGUGAAAGCAGGGGAUCUUCGGACCUUGCGCGAUUGAAUGAGCCGAUGUCGGAUUAGAUAGUUGGCGGGGUAAAGGCCCACCAAGGCGACGAUCCGUAGCUGGUCUGAGAGGAUGAUCAGCCACACUGGAACUGAGACACGGUCAAGACUCCUACGGGAGGCAGCAGUGGGGAAUAUUGGACAAUGGGCGCAAGCCUGAUCCAGCCAUACUGCGUGGGUGAAGAAGGCCUUCGGGUUGUAAAGCCCUUUUGUUGGGAAAGAAAAGCAGCAGGUUAAUACCCCGCUGUUCUGACGGUACCCAAAGAAUAAGCACCGGCUAACUUCGUG
rnacentral:rRNA from 1 species